UACGUAGGGUGCGAGCGUUGUCCGGAAUUAUUGGGCGUAAAGAGCUCGUAGGUGGUUGGUCACGUCUGCUGUGGAAACGCAACGCUUAACGUUGCGCGGGCAGUGGGUACGGGCUGACUAGAGUGCAGUAGGGGAGUCUGGAAUUCCUGGUGUAGCGGUGAAAUGCGCAGAUAUCAGGAGGAACACCGGUGGCGAAGGCGGGACUCUGGGCUGUAACUGACACUGAGGAGCGAAAGCAUGGGGAGCGAACAGGAUUAGAUA
rnacentral:rRNA from 1 species